rnacentral:misc_RNA from 1 species
CGAGAACCGAUCGGAACGGUGGUGAUGACAAGUGUAAUGUUGAUUUUAAUUCGUAUUCUUCUUCUUCUCUUUUAUCCGUUUAUUCUCCUCGGAUUCUUUCACAUGAUUUAAUGAAUGUAAAUAACUGUAACUCCAAUUGUGAAAAAAACAACGACAACAAUAAUGUUGUUGUUUUUGGUAGCAAAAAAUCCACCAACGUUUUUUCUUCCAAAGCUACUGCUCUUUCCCCUAAUAGGCCGCCUGCUGGUAAAUAUGGUAGGAAAAUGGAUGCCUAUCGAUCUGAUUCCACGAAUUCAAAUGGUGAAUGGAAGUUGCUCAAACACCAGUUUGGGAGAGCUCGUGGAGGAAUUGGAUCGUAAUGGGGUUGG